UAAUACGGAGGGUGCAAGCGUUAUCCGGAUUCACUGGGUUUAAAGGGUGCGUAGGUGGGUAUGUAAGUCAGUGGUGAAAUCCCCGAGCUUAACUUGGGAACUGCCAUUGAUACUAUAUAUCUUGAAUGCCGUAGAGGUAAGCGGAAUAUGUCAUGUAGCGGUGAAAUGCUUAGAUAUGACAUAGAACACCAAUUGCGAAGGCAGCUUACUAUGCGGUUAUUGACACUGAGGCACGAAAGCGUGGGUAGCAAACAGGAUUAGAUACCCUGGUAGUCCACGCCCUAAACUAUGGAUACUCGACAUACGCGAUACACUGUGUGUGUCUGAGCGAAAGCAUUAAGUAUCCCACCUGGGAAGUACGACCGCAAGGUUG
rnacentral:rRNA from 1 species